AUCAUUAGUGACUCUCACCACAACAGCUUUGGAAGAGUUCAAGGAAGGCACGGGGUUUGAGCAGGGCCAGCAAAAGAAGAGAAAUGCAGACAAAAUAAGUCAUCACUGUGAGCCACUGGCCCCCAAAGUCCUUGGAUGAAAUGUGUAGUCACUGUGUCCCACAGAGAUGUUAUAAACAACAAUACAAGAAAACAAGAUGCACGGUACAGGUGUACACUCAUGAAUCCACCCAUGGACACCAUCUCUGUCAUCUUUGUGGACGUAAAAAAUCUGGAAAGAGCCCUUUAAAUCCAUAGCACAGCAGAGCGGCCUGAGGUGGAAUAACAGACUGAGCUCCCUCACUUCAAAGACACUCCCGGUCCCCCGGGCUAUGCACUGUGAGUGGUCUGAUACCAGCCUUUGUGGCCCCCACAAGUCUUCAAAGAAGUCUUGGAAUUUUCUUCCGAGCUUCCUGGCAAUCAAUUCAGCCCUCUUGAUCACACACCUGCCUUAUCCAGAGUGCACUGAAUGUGUGUUACAUGCCCCUUUAUAGAUUUCAAGUGCUUUUUGUGGAAUUACGUUGAGAUUCUCACC